UCCGGGGGGGGCAAGCGUUGUUCGGAAUUACUGGGCGUAAAGGGCUCGUAGGUGGCCAACUAAGUCAGACGUGAAAUCCCUCGGCUUAACCGGGGAACUGCGUCUGAUACUGGAUGGCUUGAGUUCGGGAGAGGGAUGCGGAAUUCCAGGUGUAGCGGUGAAAUGCGUAGAUAUCUGGAGGAACACCGGUGGCGAAGGCGGCAUCCUGGACCGACACUGACACUGAGGAGCGAAAGCUAGGGGAGCAAACGGG
rnacentral:rRNA from 1 species